rnacentral:rRNA from 1 species
CCUACGGGGGGCUGCAGUGAGGAAUAUUGGUCAAUGGCCGGAAGGCUGAACCAGCCAUGCCGCGUGAAGGUCAGUGCCCUAUGGGCGUUAAACUUCUUUUGUCCGGGAGCAAUAAUGGUCACGUGUGGCCAGACGAGAGUACCGUACGAAUAAGCAUCGGCUAACUCCGUGCCAGCGGCCGCGGUAAUGCGGGGGAGGCAAGCGUUAUCCGGAUUUAUUGGGUGUAAAGGGUGAGUAGGCUGUGAGGUAAGUCAGCGGUGAAAUGCCCCCGCUCAAGGGGGUGAAGUGCCAUUGAUACUGGCUGGCUGGAAUGCCGAUGCGGUGGGAAGAAUGUGUGGUGUAGCGGUGAAAUGCAUGGAGAUCA